rnacentral:rRNA from 1 species
GCUAAGGCUGUGCCGUCGGCCGGGGGUAUAGAGAGGGGGCGAGCGGUGUGCGGAAGCACAGGGGGGAAAGGGCGUGGAGGCGGCGUGCUAGGCCGCGUGUGAAAGCCCGGGGCUCAACCCCGGAACGGCACGCGGGACUGGCAGGCUCGAGACUGGUAGAGGCGAGUGGAAUUCCUGGUGUAGCGGUGGAAUGCGUAGAGAUCAGGAAGAACACCGGUGGCGAAGGCGGCUCGCUGGGCCAGUUCUGACGCUGAGGCGCGAAAGCGUGGGGAGCAAACAGGAUUAGAUACCCGAGUAGUC